rnacentral:rRNA from 1 species
CGGGAGCUAGCUCCUGGUGGCGAGUGGCGAACGGGUGAGUAAUAUAUCGGAACGUGCCCUAUAGUGAGGGAUAACAAGUCGAAAGAUUAGCUAAUACCGCAUACGAUCUACGGAUGAAAGUGGGGGAUCGCAAGACCUCAUGCUCGUGGAGCGGCCGAUAUCUGAUUAGCUAGUUGGUGAGGUAAAGGCUCACCAAGGCAUCGAUCAGUAGCUGGUCUGAGAGGACGACCAGCCACACUGGGACUGAGACACGGCCCAGACUCCUACGGGAGGCAGCAGUGGGGAAUUUUGGACAAUGGGGGCAACCCUGAUCCAGCAAUGCCGCGUGAGUGAAGAAGGCCUUCGGGUUGUAAAGCUCUUUUGUCAGGGAAGAAACGGUGAGGGCUAAUAUCCUUUGCUAAUGACGGUACCUGAAGAAUAAGCACCGGCUAACUACGUGCCAGCAGCCGCGGUAAUACGUAGGGUGCAAGCGUUAAUCGGAAUUACUGGGCGUAAAGCGUGCGCAGGCGGUUAUGCAAGACAGAUGUGACAUCCCCGGGCUCAACCUGGGAAUUCAUUUGUGACUGUAUGGCUAGAGUGUGUCAGAGGGGGGUAGAAUUCCACGUGUAGCAGUGAAAUGCGUAGAUAUGUGGAGGAAUACCGAUGGCGAAGGCAGCCCCCUGGGAUAACACUGACGCUCAUGCACGAAAGCGUGGGGAGCAAACAGGAUUAGAUACCCUG